AGAGUUUGAUCAUGGCUCAGAAUGAACGUUGGCGGCGUGGAUUAGGCAUGCGAGUCGCGCGAGAAUGUAGCAAUACAGGACAGCGGCGAAAGGGAGAGGACAACACGGGAAUCUGCCUUGGGGACGAGGAUAGCGUCGGGAAACUGACAGUAAUACUCGAUAAUGUUUGCGGACCAAAGGUGUGAUUCCGCCCCAAGAUGAGCCCGUGCCCCAUUAGCUAGUUGGCAGGGUAAUGGCCUACCAAGGCUGUGAUGGGUAGCUGGUGUGAGAGCACGACCAGCCUCACUGGCACUGAGACACUGGCCAGACACCUACGGGUGGCUGCAGUCGAGAAUCUUCGGCAAUGGACGCAAGUCUGACCGAGCGACGCCGCGUGCGGGAUGAAGGCCUUCGGGUUGUAAACCGCUGUCGUAGGGAAUCAAGUGUAUGAGGGUACUCCCUUGUAUUUGAGAGAUCCUAGGAGGAAGGAGAGGCUAAGCUCGUGCCAGCAGCCGCGGUAAGACGAGCUCUCCAAACGUUAUUCGGUAUUACUGGGCUUAAAGAGUUCGUAGGCGGCUCUGUAGGUGAGAUGUGAAAGCCCUCGGCUUAACCGAGGAACUGCGUUUCAAACCACAGGGCUUGAGGGAGAUAGGGGUAAGCGGAACAGAUGGUGGAGCGGUGAAAUGCAUUGAUAUCAUCUGGAACACCGGUGGCGAAGGCGGCUUACUGGGUCUUUUCUGACGCUGAGGAACGAAAGCUAGGGUAGCGAACGGGAUUAGAUACCCCGGUAGUCCUAGCCGUAAACGAUGAGCACUAGUCUGAGGGACUCUCACAGUUUCUCGGACGUAGCGAAAGUGUUAAGUGCUCCGCCUGGGGAGUAUGGUCGCAAGGCUGAAACUCAAAUGAAUUGACGG
rnacentral:rRNA from 1 species